rnacentral:rRNA from 1 species
AGUUUGAUCCUGGCUCAGAUUGAACGCUGGCGGCAGGCCUAACACAUGCAAGUCGAGCGGUAGAGAGAAGCUUGCUUCUCUUGAGAGCGGCGGACGGGUGAGUAAUGCCUAGGAAUCUGCCUGGUAGUGGGGGAUAACGUUCGGAAACGGACGCUAAUACCGCAUACGUCCUACGGGAGAAAGCAGGGGACCUUCGGGCCUUGCGCUAUCAGAUGAGCCUAGGUCGGAUUAGCUAGUUGGUGAGGUAAUGGCUCACCAAGGCGACGAUCCGUAACUGGUCUGAGAGGAUGAUCAGUCACACUGGAACUGAGACACGGUCCAGACUCCUACGGGAGGCAGCAGUGGGGAAUAUUGGACAAUGGGCGAAAGCCUGAUCCAGCCAUGCCGCGUGUGUGAAGAAGGUCUUCGGAUUGUAAAGCACUUUAAGUUGGGAGGAAGGGCAUUAACCUAAUACGUUAGUGUUUUGACGUUACCGACAGAAUAAGCACCGGCUAACUCUGUGC